rnacentral:rRNA from 1 species
GACGUAGGGCGCGAGCGUUGUCCGGAUUUAUUGGGCGUAAAGCGUGCGCAGGCGGUCUGUUAAGACCGAUGUGAAAUCCCCGGGCUCAACCUGGGAAUGGCAUUUGGGACUGCAAGGCUGGAGUGCGGCAGAGGAGACUGGAAUUCCUGGUGUAGCAGUGAAAUGCGUAGAUAUCAGGAGGAAUACCGAUGGCGAAGGCAGGUCUCUGGGCUGACACUGACGCUCAUGCACGAAAGCGUGGGGAGCAAACAGG